rnacentral:tRNA from 1 species
UCCUUAAUAGCUUAAUAGGUAAAGCAAUCGAUUGUUAAUCGGUGUAAUAAUAGUUCGAAUCUAUUUUAAGGAGA